rnacentral:lncRNA from 10 species
AUCUCAUUAGCCCAAAUGGAUGAGAAGGGAAGGAGGGCAGGCAGGCCUUCUCUUGCAAAACGAGUAGCACAGUGACUGCGGAAGACUGUGGGGGUAACAGGCGGACUGCCUUGACCCCUGUGAUAUCACAGCAGAGCUAAAAAUGUAAUGUUUGAACUUCUUUUCCCUUUAAAGUGUAACCUUUCAUAUAAUAAGUUAAGCCUUGCUCUCUCUUACAUAUUGUUAGAAGCCUUCAUCCAUUUUGGGGACUGAAGGCAAAAUAAUUCUUGAAAUAAUGAAUCAUUUUUCUCUUACCAGCUUGUCCAGAAAUCCCAUGAUUAUUUUGCUAUAGCAGACGAUGACCUUCUCAAAGGAAGCCUAUCAAACGCUCAAGAUAAAUAAUGAGAAGGUCUCUCUCUCCUGCCUCCAGGAAAAAACUGCACAGAGGAAAAAUGUUUGCUAAACCAUUAAUAUGUUCAUCCCAGGAUGGGAAGCAGCUUGGUCUAAAAGAAACAGAGUGGCACAUGUGUUUGUGUGUGACCAGUGGCCCCAUUCAACAGGACUCCUGGGGCAGCAUCCAUGGAGGGGCCUCAGGAGACACACCUAAGCCCUUUACCCAGUAACGUCGGAAAUGAAUGUUUCUCUGGUGGCAGACAGGGUACCUUCUAAACCUCUUGACUCAUGAGCAAAUUAACUCAAGGAUGGCCAACACCCUCUUAUCACUUGAGACUCAGAAGAAGGGAAAUCUCCUCUGAAUUCUUUUCUGACCAGGGGCCCUGAUGACUGCCCCUUGUUGUCCCUUCAUCCCUGUGUGGACCAUUCUCAUGGCAUGGUGGAUGGCAGAUAAGGAAACAGCUUGUUGAAAUCCCCUUGGCUUGCUAAAUGGCAAAACGGGCUGAAACUGUUUGGAACCAAUAUAGCUGACUAGAAUCUGCACAGAAUAGACUUGCUUGCUGGAUGAGUGACCUUUUGACAUCAUAGCUGGAAUUUCCACCAUAUGUUUCAGACCAACUCCCCCUGCAUUUGCACAUGUGACUCAUGAAGAGGCAUGAAGAGACAACUGCAUACACCCUAGGGAUUUUACAAACUUCCCCCUUUCCUCCACCAAAUCACUCGCCAAUCCCGAAAUCCUCCUCCCAAAAUUUCUCCCCUCAGUAUACUGCUUUUAGGCUGGCAUGGGAGAUAGAUUUGAGUUAGCCUCCUGUCUCCUCAUUCGGUUGCUUUGCAGUAAACCUUUCUCUGCAAGAGACUGGUGCUGUGAUGUUGGGCUUUCCUUUGUGUGGGGGCAAAUGAACCCUAUUUGGUUUGGUCGCACUGGUGGAAUGAGUGUGUGGAUCAUUUUCAUGGCUGCGGUUUUUCAUUAAGUACCUGUGACUGAGUUCUUACAAUAGGGACAGUGACUUCCAAGCUAGAUUAUAGGGUUUUUGUAAAUCUACAAGUCAUUUGUUGCCAGCCUUUUUAAAAAAUAAAUACAUGAAUCAC